rnacentral:rRNA from 1 species
AGGAUCAUUAUCAUGUAAUAUCCAGUCAUGCUGCUGCGUGAGCUGUAUAAACCCACCCUGCGUACGCUGUCCUGUUGCUUCCGCCGCGCCCACCUGCGCGCGCGGCGGAAGGUGAAGAAUAACCUCCGACUUCCAGUAGGUAAUCUGUCUGAAUGAAAAGGAACAACAAAACGUUAAAACUUUCAGCAACGGAUCUCUUGGUUCUCGCAUCGAUGAAGAACGCAGCGAAAUGCGAUAAGUAGUGUGAAUUGCAGAAUCUAGUGAAUCAUCGAAUCUUUGAACGCACAUUGCGCCUUCUGGUAUUCCGGGAGGCAUGCCUGUUCGAGAGUCAUUGACAACCGUUUCGAGCCCCCCCUUUUGCCCACGUUCGCGAGGGUUGUCGGGGUGGGGUUUCGCAGUUGGUGGUGGAGGAAUGUGACCUGCGGAGCUUGCACGCCCUGCUCGGAAAAUCUCUCCUCCCCGCUGAAAUUCGGCGAUGGGCUUUUUCGGAUAUAGGUGGUGGGAUUGGAGGCGAUAUAAAUGCUCCCCGGCCCGCCGGGCAUAUUCUUCCAAUCCCCCCCAACUUCCAGACGCUCGCUUGUGGCGAUUCGUGACCGCAGGGACACCAGCCAAACGGGUAGGAAGAGCCGAGCUGCCAUGCUGUGUUAAUUUAAAUCAAAGGUUGACCUCGGAUCAGGUAGGGAUACCCGCUGAACUUAAGCAUAUCAAUAAGCGGAGGAAAAGAAACCAACCGGGAUUGCCUCAGUAACUGCGAGUGAAGUGGCAAAAGCUCAAAAUUGAAAUCCGGUACCUCUGGUGCCUGAGUUGUAAUUUGGAGAGACAAAUUUGGUUGACGGUGCCGGCCUAGGUUCCUUUGAACAGGACAACACAGAGGGUGAGAAUCCCGUGCCUGGCUGGAUGACCGUCGCGCUUCUAAAUUGUCUUCGACGAGUCGAGUUGUUUGGGAAUGCAGCUCAAAAUGGGUGGUAAAUGUCAUCUAAAGCUAAAUAUUGGCGAGAGACCGAUAGCGCACAAGUAGAGUGAUCGAAAGAUGAAAAGCACUUUGAAAAGAGAGUCAAAAAGUACGUGAAAUUGCUGAAAGGGAAGCGCUUGAGACCAGACUCGAACCGUGGUGAUCAGCCGUGCCUCUGUGCGGUGUCACUUGCCACGGCUCGGGCCAGCAUCGGUUCUGGCGGCCGGAUAAAAGGUGGAGGAAUGUAGCUUCCUUCGGGGAGUGUUAUUAGCCCCCACCACAAUGCGGCCAGCCG